CAAGUAACAGUGAGGCUCUGAAAGCUUUAAGACUGACUUGCAAUCAUCACAGAAUGUGGGGGGCGAAGGGGAAGGAGGAGGGAGUCAGACAAUCUGGAUGAAUCCUUUGAAGUGGAAACAGAGUCCUAGUCUCAUCUGAUUCCACGCUAAAUGACUGACAAACAGUUCUCAAACAUGGAGGUGGAAGUAAGAGUUCUACUUAAAGAGUGACUGCAGGACAUCCCUAUCACAGCUGGCACCCAAUCUGGAAGGCCUAAAGAUAGGAAACAGUCGAUGGUAAGUCGUAUGGAUCGGAGAGCUUCGUCGAACGUUGAAGCUUUAAGGAGGCAAUCGUCUAGGUAAGGAAAUAUUACGACCCCUUGUUUUCUGAGGUAGGCUGUAACUACGGCUAGGAUCUUGGAAAAAACACGGGAGGCCGUGGACAGUCCAAAGGGGAGAACCCUCUAUUGGAAAUGUGUGGAGCCGAGAGUAAAACGUAGGAAACAUCUGUGGGACGGGUGUAUAGUCACAUGAAAAUAGGCGUCCUGUAGGUCGAGGGCUGAAAACCAGUCACUCUGC